rnacentral:lncRNA from 10 species
GAAUUCCAGCACUGCAACUUUGCGGCUUGGGCAAGCUACAUUGCCACUAUGAACCUCAGUCUCCUCCUCUGGAAUAGAGACUGGUAAAAAUUCUCGCUAUACAGGUUGGCUGGGAAAUGCUAAGUCUUACCCUCAUGAAAAGACAAGAAAUUGCAACAUGAAUCUGAUGGUGAAACCCUGGCGCAUGUCUCUGGCAUGGACAUGGGAUGCUCUCUCUGAACCAGCAUCCCAAGCGCAGUCCCCAUGAUUCUUCAAGCCCUCCUGGGCCCCAGGUAUAAACCUGGACAUCAGAACAGAAAAAUUACCAGAACAAAGGCAAGGCCAUAAAUCAGGGGUGAACAAGUAGAAGAAAUAAGUGGAUGAGUAAGAGAAUGAAUGAACAAUGAGUCUGGGCUGGGCUAUGAUCCCAACACUUUGGGAGGCCGAGGAGGGAGGAUUGCUUGAGGCCAGGAGUUUGAGACUAGCCUGGGCAACACAGCAAAAGUGGCUCUACAUAAAUCUUAAAAGAUAAAAGAAAAGAAAAAAGGGGGAAAAAUUAGUCUGAACACUGCAAAAUUGCCCCUAGGCCAGGUACAUGGUGAUGUUGGCUGUAUCCUGGCGUAGUGACAAUUUCUGUUGCUGUAGACAUCCCAGGAAAUUUUCUCCUCCUCUGCUCUUCAGGAAGUUUGACCACUCCACCACACGUGGGGACAUUUCCAAUGUCAAAAAUUAUAACCAACCAUAAAACCUUUUUUAAUCCAAGCAACAACCAUCUCUGUUGUCUAAACAUGCCAAGAGGGAAAACGAUUUUGCCCAGGGACCAUGGCUGUAAAACCCAGGGCCACACCCAGCUCUACCCAGUUCUGUUGCCUGCCCCAGCUCCCAUGAAGUCCUUCAGCCUCCCCUGAACUAAGGCUUUGCAAGAGUGACUCAGAUUCCCAUCACUUGCCUCAAACCAUCAGUGCUGAAAGAUUGAAGUCCUCACCCUUGAACCCAACUGUGCCAAACUGCAAGAAAUUAUUUACCUACCCACUGCUGGGGAAAUCCAAAAACAGCACGUUUCCUCACCUGCCAUGUGCCACGUGCCGAUGCUUUCUUUUUGCCCCAAACAAAUGGGUGGAAGUCCAAACAUAAGGAACAGCCAUCUUCUGAAUUAAGUAACUCAAGCUCCAAAGGGGUGUCCACCGCUGCAGCUCCAUCUGACCCCUACACUGCCUCUGGUCACACCUUACACUCUGCAAGGCCUCCUACCUGUCUCUGAGUGUCCCCAGGAUGCACAAGGCUUAACAAUCCUGGACUCUGGCAGGCACCUGUUCCCCAACUCUGCCUCGUUUCUUAAAGAUUUAUUUCAUAUCUUCUUUACUUUUGCGGGUGUUUGAACAUGUCCAUUUAAAAGUGUGGUUUUUUAAAAUUUCAGUCUAAGCACCUCCUCUUCCAGGAAGGCUUCCUGGACUUUCCUGGCCAAUUCAGGUAUUCCCUCCUCUGGGUUUCCUGAACAAGGAGUUUGUCUCUAUCAAGGUAGCACAAAGCAGUGGUUAGGGCAAUGGAUUUGGGGGUCAGACACAUCUGGGUUCAAACCUUGGCUCCACUAUUUACUUGCUAUUUGAACUUGGGCAGGCCCCUAAGCCUCAAAUUCUACUUUUAUACAAUCAGGUUGAUAAUAACACCUACCUUCGAAGAGCUUUGUGACAAUUCAAUGAGAGAAGACAUUUAGAGCACUUGUAUGAUACCUGGCUUAAGGGAUAGGCUGAACAACAGAGUAUAUGCAUUCCUAAAUAAUUAUUUAAACACAGAUGACUCUGUAAUGACAGUAAAUACCUACCUGUCUCCCCAUUGUACCACGGGCUCAAUUUUAUCCCCAACUCCUGCCAGAGGCUGGGAACAUACAAGGGAACUGAAUUUCUACAGAAUCUUCCUCCUCCAACAAGCCAUCCCGUCAGCAAACAUCCUUUUUGGAAAGUCCAGGCAGCAUGAAACCUACUGACCCUGCAGAAUUAGAAUCUAAUUAGUAAAUAUGUAUUAAGUAACUGUAUUAAGUAACUACAACGUACUAGGUGCUGUGAGGGUACAAAGAUGAAAAUACAAAGUCUUGUUCCUCAAAGAGCUCGUGUUUUGUUUCAGGAGAGGCAAUAUAAGCCUUUGGAAACUUCCAUCAACAACUAAGAUUUAAAUAGCAAAGAUGGCGAAGUGCAAAUCUAACAAUAAGAAAAAUAGAAUUAAUUACCAGGCA